rnacentral:rRNA from 1 species
CUACGGGCCGCAGCAGUGGGGGAUAUUGCGCAAUGGGGGAAACCCUGACGCAGCAACGCCGCGUGAAGGAAGAAGGUUUUCGGAUUGUAAACUUCUUUUAUCAAGGACGAAUAAAGUGACGGUACUUGAUGAAUAAGCUCCGGCUAACUACGUGCCAGCAGCCGCGGUAAUACGUAGGGAGCGAGCGUUGUCCGGAUUUACUGGGUGUAAAGGGUGCGUAGGCGGCUCGACAAGUCAGAUGUGAAAUCUAUGGGCUCAACCCAUAGCCUGCAUUUGAAACUGCCGAGCUUGAGUGAAGUAGAGGUAGGCGGAAUUCCCCGUGUAGCGGUGACAUGCGUAGAGAUGGGGAGGAACACCAGUGGCGAAGGCGGCCUACUGGGCUUUAACUGACGCUGAGGCACGAAAGCGUGGGUAGCAAACAGGAUUAGAUACCCGGGUAGUC